UUGCGACUGCGUAAAAAUUAAGUAACUCAAAUUUGUAUGGAGUUGGAACUUUUACCUACGUUUGCGACUAGGGGCGCUGUUCCAACUGCAUACAGAUUUGGGUUAACUUUUACGCUAUCGA
rnacentral:pre_miRNA from 9 species